AACAAUUUAAUGAAAGACAUAAAAUCAAAGAUAAUCAUGUAUAAACUUUAUAAAUCCAAGCAUAGAUUUAAUCGAAUAUAAAUCCUAACAAUCAAUAAUGCAUGACAGAAUUGAUGAAAAGAUUUUAUUAACAUCCAAUUAAUCAUGUGAAAUAAAAACCAUAAUCAUCAAAAUCAAAGAACAUAUAUAGAAUUAAUUAAAUAAAAAGAUAUAAUUAUUUCAUUGAAUAGGGUUUCAUCCUUAACCUCAGUAUAAGAAAAUUAGCUAGACAUACUUGAAUUGGGAGCAACAAAAUAAAUAAAUUCAGCCAUGGGGAAGCCGAAUUGCUGCAGAUUUUCUUCUCUGUCUUGAAUCCUUACGUCUGCAGUUCUCCCUUCUGGUGGCUCUCUCUUCUUCUUUCCGUCCAGCCACUCCCUCCAAAAGCAAAAACUCUCUUUUAUAAUAUCUAAAAUGGACCCCACCUCUUAAAUCCUAAAGCCAAAAGGCUUGGCCUUUUACUUGAUUUGCUCUCACACGUGAUCACUCUUAGAAUUGCUUUAGGAUUCCUUUUGUAAUUAUGAAAGCCAAGUGUGGGUCCCUUUAAAUUGCUUCCAAAUAUUAGAAUGCCAUGCAUUUGCUUCCCACGUGCUGGCCACUUUAGCUUUAAAU
rnacentral:lncRNA from 1 species